GAGCUAAUACAUGCGAACAGUCUCGACUCACGAAGGGAUGUAUUUAUUAGACUAAAAACCAAUGCGGGUUUCGGCCCGUUUCUUGGUGAUUCAUGAUAACUUUUCGAAUCGCAUGGCCUUGCGCCGGCGAUGUUUCAUUCAAAUUUCUGCCCUAUCAACUGUCGAUGGUAAGGUAGUGGCUUACCAUGGUUGUAACGGGUGACGGAGAAUUAGGGUUCGAUUCCGGAGAGGGAGCCUGAGAAACGGCUACCACAUCUAAGGAAGGCAGCAGGCACGAAAAUUACCCAAUCCCAACUCGGGGAGGUAGUGACAAGAAAUAACGGUACGGGGUCUUUAUAGGUCUCGCAAUUGGAAUGAGUACAAUUUAAAUCCUUUAACGAGGAUCAAUUGGAGGGCAAGUCUGGUGCCAGCAGCCGCGGUAAUUCCAGCUCCAAUAGCGUAUAUUAAAGUUGUUGCAGUUAAAAAGCUCGUAGUUGGAUUUCGGGACGGGCCAGUCGGUCCACCGCAAGGUGUGUCACUGACUGGUCUGUUCUUCUUCGCAAAGACUGCAUGUGCACUUCACUGUGUGUGUGUAGGAUUUACGGCGUUUACUUUGAAAAAAUUAGAGUGUUCAAAGCAGGCUAUCGCUUGAAUACAUGAGCAUGGAAUAAUGGAAUAGGACUUUGGUCCUAUUUUGUUGGUUUCUAGGACCGAAGUAAUGAUUAAGAGGGACAAUUGGGGGCAUCCGUAUUUCGUUGUCAGAGGUGAAAUUCUUGGAUUUACGAAAGACAAACUACA
rnacentral:rRNA from 1 species